rnacentral:rRNA from 1 species
UACGAAGGGGGCUAGCGUUGCUCGGAAUUACUGGGCGUAAAGGGCGCGUAGGCGGCCAUUCAAGUCAGGGGUGAAAGCCUGUGGCUCAACCACAGAAUUGCCUUUGAUACUGUUUGGCUAGAGACCGGAAGAGGUAAGUGGAACUGCGAGUGUAGAGGUGAAAUUCGUAGAUAUUCGCAAGAACACCAGUGGCGAAGGCGGCUUACUGGUCCGGAUCUGACGCUGAGGCGCGAAAGCGUGGGGAGCAAACAGG